rnacentral:rRNA from 1 species
GAUGAACGCUGGCGGCGUGCCUAAUACAUGCAAGUCGAGCGAAUGGAUUAAGAGCUUGCUCUUAUGAAGUUAGCGGCGGACGGGUGAGUAACACGUGGGUAACCUGCCCAUAAGACUGGGAUAACUCCGGGAAACCGGGGCUAAUACCGGAUAACAUUUUGAACCGCAUGGUUCGAAAUUGAAAGGCGGCUUCGGCUGUCACUUAUGGAUGGACCCGCGUCGCAUUAGCUAGUUGGUGAGGUAACGGCUCACCAAGGCAACGAUGCGUAGCCGACCUGGGAGGGUGAUCGGCCAAACUGGGACUGAGACACGGCCCAGACUCCUACGGGAGGCAGCAGUAGGGAAUCUUCCGCAAUGGACGAAAGUCUGACGGAGCAACGCCGCGUGAGUGAUGAAGGCUUUCGGGUCGUAAAACUCUGUUGUUAGGGAAGAACAAGUGCUAGUUGAAUAAGCUGGCCCCUUGACGGUACCUAACCAGAAAGCCACGGCUAACUACGUGCCAGCAGCCGCGGUAA